UACAGAGGGGGCAAGCGUUGUUCGGAAUUACUGGGCGUAAAGGGCGCGUAGGCGGCCUUCUAAGUCGAACGUGAAAUCCCUGGGCUCAACCCAGGAACUGCGUCCGAUACUGGAAGGCUUGAAUCCGGGAGAGGGAUGCGGAAUUCCAGGUGUAGCGGUGAAAUGCGUAGAUAUCUGGAGGAACACCGGUGGCGAAGGCGGCAUCCUGGACCGGUAUUGACGCUGAGGCGCGAAAGCGUGGGGAUCAAACAGG
rnacentral:rRNA from 1 species